rnacentral:rRNA from 1 species
AUGUGUUGCCUCUUGCCGGCUGAAACUGCCGGCGGCCGUCAACCUGCCGCUCCUCGAGACCUUGAGCAUCACGGCUCCCCACUACGACGGUGGGAGAAGCAUCCAGCGGCUGAUCUCCAGCUGCCCCCGCCUCAUCGACCUAACGCUGGAAGCUAUCUACCGCCUGAAGAGACUAUCCGUCCUCGACAAACGCCUCCGCAGAUUCGCCCUCCGCUGCUGUCACAACUUGAAGUCUGUUGA